UUACAUACGCCUCCUGCCACAUCGGAUUUCCUUCUAUUUUGUCAGGGGUGGCAUCAUCCAGUGAGUAAAUCUGUUAGUGAUCUCCCUCGCAUAACCUAGGAAUUCUCUCAGGAUCCAUUUUUCCAGUAGUUUUGAGAAAGCGACCAACAACAGCAAAGAGAGUAGUUCUUCCAUUCCAAGAGCAGCCAUCUUGCUUAACUGACAAACUAGAGAGAACUGCAAGGACUCAGUACAUCCCUGGCACAGUCCAUUCUCUCUCACAGCAUAUUGUAUGAGACUGUGUGAGUGCUGCUUCCACGCUACACUAAAAACCCAUGGUCCCUGCAUUAUUUGAGCAACUGACAAGCUUCUGAAGUUCAGGUUCGCGAACGCUGAGAGCAGCACCCAGUGGAUUUGUGGCAGGGAUGCACUCUAUCUGCGCAGAGGAAAACUCGUAGGACCUCCUAGGAUGCAU
rnacentral:lncRNA from 1 species